rnacentral:rRNA from 1 species
UAGUUGGUGAGGUAACGGCUCACCAAGGCGACGAUGCGUAGCCGACUGAGAGGGUGAUCGGCCACACUGGGACUGAGACACGGCCCAGACUCUACGGGAGGCAGCAGUAGGGAAUCUUCCGCAAUGGACGAAAGUCUGACGGAGCAACGCCGCGUGAGUGAUGAAGGUUUUCGGAUCGUAAAGCUCUGUUGUUAGGGAAGAACAAGUGCCGUUCAAAUAGGGCGGCACCUUGACGGUACCUACCAGAAAGCCACGGCUAACUACGUGCCAGCAGCCGCGGUAAUACGUAGGUGGCAAGCGUUGUCCGGAAUUAUUGGGCGUAAAGGGCUCGCAGGCGGUUUCUUAAGUCUGAUGUGAAAGCCCCCGGCUCAACCGGGGAGGGUCAUUGGAAACUGGGGAACUUGAGUGCAGAAGAGGAGAGUGGAAUUCCACGUGUAGCGGUGAAAUGCGUAGAGAUGUGGAGGAACACCAGUGGCGAAGGCGACUCUCUGGUCUGUAACUGACGCUGAGGAGCGAAAGCGUGGGGAGCGAACAGGAUUAGAUACCCUGGUAGUCCACGCCGUAAACGAUGAGUGCUAAGUGUUAGGGGGUUUCCGCCCCUUAGUGCUGCAGCUAACGCAUUAAGCACUCCGCCUGGGGAGUACGGUCGCAAGACUGAAACUCAAAGGAAUUGACGGGGGCCCGCACAAGCGGUGGAGCAUGUGGUUUAAUUCGAAGCAACGCGAAGAACCUUACCAGGUCUUGACAUCCUCUGACAAUCCUAGAGAUAGGACGUCCCCUUCGGGGGCAGAGUGACAGGUGGUGCAUGGUUGUCGUCAGCUCGUGUCGUGAGAUGUUGGGUUAAGUCCCGCAACGAGCGCAACCCUUGAUCUUAGUUGCCAGCAUUCAGUUGGGCACUCUAAGGUGACUGCCGGUGACAAACCGGAGGAAGGUGGGGAUGACGUCAAAUCAUCAUGCCCCUUAUGACCUGGGCUACACACGUGCUACAAUGGACAGAACAAAGGGCAGCGAAACCGCGAGGUUAAGCCAAUCCCACAAAUCUGUUCUCAGUUCGGAUCGCAGUCUGCAACUCGACUGCGUGAAGCUGGAAUCGCUAGUAAUCGCGGAUCAKCAUGCCGCGGUGAAUACGUUCCCGGGCCUUGUACACACCCGCCCGUCA